AGCACUUACAGAUGGGAAAGAAGCAGCUGGAGCCUUAUGUUUCCUUUUUCCCCAGCCUCAACUCCUGAUAGCCAUACGAGGGACACCAAAGCUGCGGCAGCCCAACCGAUUCUCGUCUUCCCUGCGUAACUUCCUGAGGCACUGCCUGCGGACAGACGCGGCACGGCGCUGGUCUGCCAAGGAGCUCCUGCAGCAUCCAUUUGUAACAUCAGCCAAGCCAGCGUCCACCCUGGUACCACUCAUCAACUCAGUGAAGAAGGAGAA